rnacentral:rRNA from 1 species
UACGGGGGGGGCAAGCGUUGUUCGGAAUUACUGGGCGUAAAGGGCUCGUAGGCGGCCAACUAAGUCAGACGUGAAAUCCCUCGGCUUAACCGGGGAACUGCGUCUGAUACUGGAUGGCUAGAGGUUGGGAGAGGGAUGCGGAAUUCCAGGUGUAGCGGUGAAAUGCGUAGAUAUCUGGAGGAACACCGGUGGCGAAGGCGGCUCUCUGGACCGGUACUGACGCUGAGACGCGAAAGCCAGGGGAGCAAACGGG